CCAGUUCGGAUUGCAGGCUGCAACCCGCCUGCAUGAAGCUGGAAUCGCUAGUAAUCGCGGAUCAGAAUGCCGCGGUGAAUACGUUCCCGGGUCUUGUACACACCGCCCGUCACACCAUGGGAGUCGGUAACGCCCGAAGUCAGUGACCCAACCUUAAGGAGGGAGCUGCCGAAGGCGGGACUGGUAACUGGGGUGAAGUCGUAACAAGGUACC
rnacentral:rRNA from 1 species